UUCAACCAUCAUGAUGAUACCCAACGAAUAUAGCAUAGUUCACACUGAAUAUCAAAGUGUUGAUAACCAAUCAUCUAAGUCUUUCGCUCCUAUCUGAUCCAUUGAUUCUU
rnacentral:snoRNA from 1 species